rnacentral:misc_RNA from 1 species
AAGUCGUAACAAGGUUUCACCACGGAAGCCUUUGUUCCCUGCGACUUUAAACAAUGGAGCAAGUGGCAUCAGCCGCUACACAAUCGAAUUGCGGGGAGAUCCUAAAGAUCAGGCUACUAUUCAGGGUCGAAAGACUCUGUUACAGUAAUAACGUCCGAUAUGUAACAAUGGAUAAUCCGCAGCUAAAUCUCUACAGCGUAAAGCCACGAGAGAAGUCCACAGACUAAGCGAUUGCGGGUCAGAUACUUCUGACUUAAGAUAUAGUCGGUCGGAUCGUGAAAGCGAGACGGUAAAACGUUCCGUAGGUGAACCUGCGGAAGGAUCAUUACAGAGUUCAUGCCCUUCGGGGUAGAUCUCCCACCCUUGAAUAUUAUACCUUAGUUGCUUUGGCGGGCCGGGGCAACCCCCCCGGGCUCAGGCCUGGGAGUGCCUGCCAGAGGAAACAAACUCUGUUUUUAGUGAUGUCUGAGUACAUAUAAUAGUUAAAA